rnacentral:rRNA from 1 species
UUCCGAACCCGGAAGCUAAGCCCGCCAGCGCCGAUGGUACUGCCAGGGGGACCUGGUGGGAGAGUAGGACGCGGCCGGAC